UCAUCAUCGAGCGGCGAAGGCUGUAUCUUGCUCGCUGAUUUCAAGGUGUUUUCGAGUUACCACGGGAUUCUCUUCCGUCGUUCAACAAGAAAACACGAGCUAGGUACAGUCUCACCGUUUGAGAUGGCAAUGGGACGGGCGGAGGGAGUUGCUGUUUGCAGUGAUGCUGUUUGCUGGGCAUUCCGCAAGGGAAUCAGGGAUCCCAUGUUCUAGAGUCUAUCUACGCCUUUCACCGGUUUGGUUUGUAAACUGUAUCGGAGCCAAUGUACUUUCUUUUCAGUCAUUUUUUUGUAACGAUAUGGAUAUUGGAAAUAUGAAAGUUAGUUGUUAAUGUUAAAGAACAUUUGAUUUGGAAUAUUUUUUUCUUUUGCUUUUUCAGAAAUACUACACGUUUGUUGAGACCUAAAUUUAUAGUUCUCGCCAUGAUACAGCAUGGUCAUAGAGUCACUCUAGCAUAAGAGGUGUUCCAUAAGUAAAGUUUAUUUAAAGCUGGUUCCGAACAUUGGAACAGCCUUUUAUGCUGUAUAGUGGCGAGGACUAUACCUUUGUAGACACAAUUUGAAAGAUAUUUGUACAGUAUAUUUACCUGAAACGAUAGUCAUAAUACUGAUUGUCAUUCCAAAGAAUCUGAAACUUGUGUAGAUUUUGUACGUUAUGCAAAGCGUGUUACUUUAACAUCUGUGUACAUAUUGUUAUAUAGCAGAAGAGGAGCAGAAUUUGAAAGAAUAAAUGUAAACAAGAAAAAUGGGCAACCUAUUAUCUAAAACUUUUCUGAUUCACCAUUAUUAAUACCGAACGUCCUUUUCAGUCUGGCAUACACCUUACAAAACUUAUAUCGCACGCAAGAGAUCAGCACACAUGUCGUCCAGGCUGUUGCUCGUCAUCGGCGACGUCAUUGGCCUGUCCUAUAAUAACCAUAAGAGUGAAAUAAGAGGAGUGGUGAGAGAGGUUAAUUAGUAAGGGAUGAGGAAAGGGGGCAAAAUGUUUGUUUCUAGAAAAUCGCGCACGAAGUAUUGCGGCUGAGUUGCACGGCGAAUCAAGUCAUACAAACACCACCUUACGAUCACACUUCCAUAUCUCGACCAAGCAUCAACUAUUCCCAGUCAUCUGGUCGGUGAGAUGUAAAGGCUCACUGCGAGACAAACUGCAGCAAACUUGACCCCUGUUCGGUGAGCUAUUCCCUUCUCUCCGUUACCUGUGCAAACCUAUUUUCUCAGGUGCAGAAAGGUUUUUCCCGACGCUUGCACCGCCUAAGUCGUACGUGGGUGUUGUUCUGCUUAUUGACAUACAAUGCGAAGUCAACUAAGCUGGCUAGCCCAAGAACUGCAUAGUGUGUCCCGUUCGAAAUAGGCCGAGGGCCUCGAGGUAUGGAGAGAGUAAUUCAUUGCAUGUCUGUUGAUUUGAGACGACCCAGAAGUGCCCAGAUACUUAUCGCAAGUAGUAAAAUUAAUUUUCAUUCGAGCAUGUGAAUAUUAAAAAAGGCUCAAACGGAAUAUAUAUAUAUUUAUAUAUAUAAUUUUAUACGCGUGGUACCGGUUUGUAAUUUUUGUUUUGCGGCAUCAUGCCUUCGGAUAAUUAUUUCCACAGAUACGAUGUUCCGGAAAUUGUUCUGUAGGAACUAGAGCAAGAAGAUCUGUGUAAAGUAUGUUCUAGAUAUCAGAGUAAGGUAGCGCUUCUCGAGGAGAGGUAUGGCGGAAGUUAUGCGAACACAGGAAGAGGUAUCAGUUCAUAUUACAGUUGAAUUAACGCGAGGAUUGAGCAGCACAUUCGAAAUUCUUUGGUUAAAACUUUGAAGACUUAGAAGAAGGUAGGGAGGGAGGCAGGAAUUUGAGAAUGUUUUCUUUACUACAGAAAGUUUCGCUCGAAUAUGGAUGUGUGGAGCUGUAGUGCAAUAUUGACAACAAAUAGGAAAGCAGCUGCAUCGUAUAACAGCUAAUGGCAAAUCUAAAUGAUAUAUUCAUACCUUACUGGAACAAAGUGGUGCAGUAUUAUUUUUUACCUAAGAGAGGAAGUAUGCGUAUUGAUAAUCAGACAUCUGGGAAGACAGGAUAAAAUGAUUAAUUGUCUACUUACCAUUGAGAAUAUGAGCUGAAGGUUUGGUAUAAACAUGGUUUAAACAGAGUUCGCUCCUGUAUAUGCUUUGAGGAGCCAUGGUAUCAUGUGUCAUAUGAUUUUAUGCAUAUCGUUUUUUAAAACUUCCUUGGGGGAGUUUCUGUUCGAAUAUCUUUUAUACUGCAGGAAAACCUGAAAGAUACGCAUUUUGGAUGCACAACUCUAAGGUGAAGCUACUAGAAGCACUUUUCCUCUUAAUGGAACCGUAUCGCGCUCUCGGUAUUACGAAGGUACAUCACGGUAUGUUUAAGUACGGAAACCGGAAAAGGGGAAGGAACUACUAUGUUUCAGCUAGAGACUGGUUAAGGAACGCGUAUUACCCAACAUGCAGUCGUGUGAGCUUAUUAUCCUUUAAAAUCUUAACUGGGACCUGAUACAUAAAGUUGUACUUGAUCGUACUAUUGCGAUGAGGAGUUUCUGAUGUUAAGACAAAUAGCAUUUUUAAAGAGAGAUGUAGACAUUACGGAGGAAGGUAACAAUUCAAUAUGCUGGACAACUCAUUUUUUUGUAAAUAUUAGACGUAUAUACGGGGGAAAAGCUUUUGGGAUGGGCCACGAAAUUUUAUGUAAGCUGCAGGACUGAAGCUGUGUGCGCGCCUCUAUCGCAGUGGAUAAAGUAUAUUCAGACGGAACUACUCAUUAUGAUGGAACGCCGGACAUUCCUUUAUAUUCAUAGUAACAGCAGCAAGAUACGAUUCUGCAGUUUCAGUAACAUUAAAGGAGCACUACUUUAUUUUAAUUAACAAGCAUCUUGGUACACGAGCAAAUCCAUCGAAUUUUUAUUUCUUUCGGUUCUUUAGAAAUGAUUCGAGAUGAUUUGGAGAUACUCAGUGAAGGAAAAGAAUGGAGAGCAGCAGCCUAUGUUAUAUGCGUUCAUUUCCAUUAAAUUAUCGUAAUAGUGUUAUCUUCAAUAAGGUAUUUUAGAUCAACCAGGUGAUGCAUUUUACAUAUUUUUAAAUACAUAUGGAUAGUUCAGAAUUAUUGGUUAGAAAAUUUUGUGUAAUCAUAUCUGUUUAGAAACAUGUGGGGAAGGGAUGGGUGGAGGGGGGACGGUAUAAACCAAUUUUACCUUCUUUUCGCAGACAUGUAUGAGCAGGUGGACGAGUGUUGAAAGUUUGUUGUGAAACCUGACAAAGCAUGACGACACACCACAGUAGCAUUAACCCUUUGAAAAUAUAUAUAGGUGUAUAUAUAUUAUUCUAUCAGCGAGUUAGGAUUGUUUGAAUGUUUACUCAUCAGCUAUUGUUUGGGUGUACAUUGCUGGCGAAUGGAUUUUUUUUUUAUCUCUGCUACAGAUAAUGCAAGAAAAUAUCACAUUUGAAAUAUCGGUUCUAUAAAUGGCCAUUGAUCCACUGGAAGGCGCUACUCAAAAUACUGUAUGUAUUGCCCACUGGAACAUUAUUUCUUUCACAUUGUUAGGAAGAAGAGAUUUGAUUCGAUAUUAGCAGAAUUUUCGAUGUCCUUAAAAGUAUCUGUAAUAGUAUGAAAAAUGCACUUUCGUGGAUGAGUCUCACCAUGCUUGAAGUACGAAUAUGGCCAGCCACUAGAAAGUAUAUUAGUCCUCUGUGCUUGAAAUAAAAGGUAAUGCAUAUGUCAGAAACGUGCAAAUGAUCCACCGCCAAGCUUCUAUCAGGUAACGGUCCCUAACCAUACAUUCAAUUAGACUUUAUAAUCGGACGUAAAAGAUGGUAUUCGUACGAAUUGAAUAUUUACAUCAUAAGGUAUGAUUAUUGCAGAUUCAUUGUUCAGUGUGUAGAGUUUUUCUUAUAAAAAUCUGUAACUUUUAAUACGAUAGAUUAAUGAUCCAUAAAAACAUUGCUGUUUAUAACUCGAAGGAAAUUGUAUAAUCACGUAAUUUGAAAGGACUACUUGGAACUAGUUCUACCAUUUGUAGAAUUCUAUUAACCCUUUUGUGAAUGAGUUGCAUUUCAAGUUUGUAUAGUGUUAAGUGCACAAAAGAUCUUGUAAUUGGAUGCAGUAUAUCUUUGCUGUCUGCUAAUGCGCUUGAAGUUUUGUUAUAUGAGAAUUAAGAACAUUGUCUUGGGGAAUGCAACGGCUCAAGCUUUACAAUAACAAAGCACAUGCUCGGUCUAAAAGCCUUAUAUAACAACCUAUUUGGAUAAUCAAACAGUAUUGUUAGAAAGUUGAUUCGUAGUAAGACUUCGGUAAGUGAAUAAUUGUGCAACGUGUACUUCCAUUAAAACAAAGACAGAACAAUGUCUUAGAGGCAGUCAUUAGAGUGAUGUAAAUGUACAUGUCAUUAGUUUCUUACGAUCUACUGUAAUGCCCUGAGUGUUGCAUUUUAUGCUUUGGUGGCUUUUCUCGAUCCAGGUAAUUAGUAUGUUCUGUAUGCUUUGCUUGUACAGUUCAUUUCUGUUACUAAAUUCUACUUUUAAAUAAGCAUAUACCAUAGUGUGGUUAGGUGGAACCGGGGCGGGAGGGGUACAUUAAUCCAAUGAAAGUUAGAUAUAUUACAGAAUAAUAUCCUGCAGCAUAAACAUUUUACAUGCUUGUUACCGAAUCCAUACAAUUGCUGGACAUUACAAUCAACGUGAUGUAGGGUGAAUUGAAUAUUUAAAGAUGCUGGUAUGAAAUUCAUGUAAAGGACCUACACAGUUCAAGGAAUUGAUUAUUCCAUUUCAAAAAUAUUCCUAAUUCAACUGAAACUGCACUACAGUCAUUAGUAGGUGUGAAUUACUUUCGUGUGUUUUCUUCUCGAAAAAGCUAACCAAGUGUUUUAGAACCCGUUUUCCGAGUAUUGAGUUCGUGCAAAUGAGAGGAGGAGAGUGAUUUGCCGUGGCAACAGCAUCGAGUAAUGCUUGCUUGAAAUCCAAACAUUGAGACUUCCACUCGCCGGCGGGUCCUGCAUAUUGGGGUGUGGUCUGUUACCUUAAUUAGUGAAUUCCUGUCGAUUGUCGGAUGAUUACCUUGAAACAGUUUGGUCUGAUGUAAUGGGAUUCUUGUAAUGCUAAACGACUUGUUGCGGUCUGAUGGCGGCGAUGAUGAGUAACAGGGGCACGCACACUAUCCUGUUUAAAAUGGAGUGUACUGACUUGGACAUCGGGGUCGUUCGUUUGCGUUCCUGAAAGUGGAACUACGGGAUAAUCAUUCCAUAUCGAGACAAAAAUACGAUUGAAUGGGAUAUGCGUUUUCUUUUCGGAUUUUCAAUAGGCCUUGAUGGAUAUUUUACGGUGUAAUGCAACAGUCAUCGGUGCAGAGUUCCAGCUAACAGGCCUUUUUUUUUUAUAAAAAAAUAUUUUCUUGGUUAAUGAUGUGAUAACAUAUAUGAA